rnacentral:tRNA from 1 species
GUCAGGGUGGCCGAGCGGUCUAAGGCGCCAGAUUUAAGCUCUGGUCCUCGUGAGAGGGCGUGGGUUCGAACCCCACUCCUGACA